AUCGAUCCUCGGUAGUGGCACUCAGGGCCGUCGCGUCCUGCAUGCCUCGAUCGAAGAUCGAU
rfam:Pimelobacter simplex strain VKM Ac-2033D, complete genome.